rnacentral:tRNA from 1 species
GGAAGGUAAACUCUGAUGGUGAUGAGCACUGUUUGCUAAACAGUUGGUACUUUAUAUGAGUAUUCGGUUCGAUUCCGAUUCCUUCCUCCA